GACAUUACUGUUCACAAUUUCAGGUUUGGCCCAAGGCAAAUCGGAAUGGAAUCGGCCUUGCUCAGGUCCUACAACAGCGGUACCAUGCUGCUCCUUAUGAAUCUCUUGUGGUGGCUGACAUUGGGGACGUCAAUGUGAACGUGUAUGACCUGAAAGACACAUGCAGACGUAUCAGGGAGACCUAAGAAAGGUGCUGGCCUCUGGCUGCAUCCCCUUGACAAUGGGUGGAGAUCACACAAUUUCUUAUCCGAUCCUACAAGCCGUUGCUGAGAAGUAAGUGUAACGUAGCAAUGAAGCCGCACUUAUCCACGUUGUUAACUUCCACAAAGAAAAUAUUUUCAACCCAAACGGUGGAUGAAUCAAAUGAAAGCAAUUUUUAUUGUGCAGUACAAUGAAACUUCUGAUGUUGGACAAUUCUAAGGUCAAACAAUUUGAAAUUGGGGAGUCACUCAAAGCACAAACCCUCUGUCACACAUGAUCUCAAAAUCUGUCGUAAUCCAUCUGUUUUGCUUUUUCUUUGGGUUUUCGUGCCACAUGUUCUGAAACCCUCAAUAAGGGGUAUUCACAGAAAAACGUGAGACUAAAAAGAAUACCCCGGAUAUAAGGAGACUCAUUCUUUUUAAGUUAAACCGCCAUCAUAUUGUACAAUGUUAUCACUUAGAAUUUAGAAUUUAACAGUUUUCCUUUUCAUGUUAAAAUGUACUUGCCAUAUUGUUACACCUCGGCACAAGAACUAAAAUGUGCUUGUGUUUUGUUAAUAUGAAUAAAGUUCUGUGAUGGCACCAAAAAAGGAAAAUAGUUCCCAUUCC